AAUUCGAUGCAACCCGAAGAACCUUACCUGGGCUUGACAUCAUGGGAAAAGCCGUAGAGAUACGGUGUGCAUUAGCGUCCAUGACAGGUGGUGCAUGGCUGUCGUCAGCUCGUGUCGUGAGAUGUGGGUUAAGUCCGCAACGAGCGCAACCCUUGUCCUAUGUUGCCAGCGGUUCGGCCGGGGACUCAUAGGAGACUGCCGGGGACAACUCGGAGGAAGGUGAGGACGACGUCAAGUCAUCAUGCCCCUUAUGUCCAGGGCUGCACGCAUGCUACAAUGGUCGGUACAACGGGCUGCGAUCCCGCGAGGGUGAGCGAAUCCCUUAAAACCGGCCUCAGUUCGGAUUGGAGUCUGCAACUCGACUCCAUGAAGUCGGAGUCGCUAGUAAUCGCGGAUCAGCAAAGCCGCGGUGAAUGCGUUCUCGGGGAUU
rnacentral:rRNA from 1 species